rnacentral:rRNA from 1 species
AUGUGGUGUGAGCUUCGGUUUGCAGUGUUUAACCGCAAGGUGCCUAUCUAUGGGCCCUAUAUGUUUCUGCUGAUCUCGAAGACUUGGGAGAAGAUGUUCCCUGGUGAGGAGUUCCUUGCUCCAGACUGGAUUCGUCAUGAUCCCAUCUGUCUCCGUGUCAAGUCCAACUGGGCCAACACUACUACUCGUGCUGAGGCGUCUGCUGCUAGGGCUGCUGUUGAUGAGGAGGAUGUUGGCGCAGAGGAUGUUGCUGAGGACCGUGCUGCCAGGCCUUCCCAUAGUUCCUCUAUGCCCUCGUGGGCCAAGAAGCUGAAGGACAAGAUGAAGACUCUUUUCUGCAUGCAAGCUAAGGGCCAGUACAGGACUCACGUGGCAUCCAAGGAGAGUCGUCGCCGGGACAAGAAGAUCUUACAGCUCUAUGGUGAGGAUGUGUCUGGCGGUUCUGAGGAUCGCAUCACUCCAGAGGCCGAGUGGAUGGAGAAGCAAGGCUACAGGUGGACUGAUUCUGAGGAGGACGUCGAGGAGACCAUCCCUGCUGCCGAGGAGUCCGACGGAGAGGGUUGGGAUGAGUUCCCUGCUUGA